GUCUCUGUGGCGCAAUUGGCCAGCGUAUUUGGCUGUUAACUGAAAGGCUGGUGGCUCGAGCCCACCCGGGGACA